rnacentral:rRNA from 1 species
GACGAACGCUGGCGGCGUGCUUAACACAUGCAAGUCGAACGGAAAGGCCUCUUUCGGGGGGUACUCGAGUGGCGAACGGGUGAGUAACGCGUGAGUAACCUGCCCUUGACUUUGGGAUAACUUCAGGAAACUGGGGCUAAUACCGGAUAGGAGCUCCUGCUGCAUGGUGGGGGUUGGAAAGUUUCGGCGGUUGGGGAUGGACUCGCGGCUUAUCAGCUUGUUGGUGGGGUAGUGGCUUACCAAGGCUUUGACGGGUAGCCGGCCUGAGAGGGUGACCGGCCACAUUGGGACUGAGGUACGGCCCAGACUCCUACGGGAGGCAGCGGUGGGGAAUAUUGCACAAUGGGUGGAAGCCUGAUGCAGCAACACCGUGGGCGGGAUGACGGCCUUCGGGUUGUAAACCGCUUUCGCUCAUGACGAAGCUUUGUGUGACGGUAGUGGGUAAAGAAGCACCGGCUAACUACGUG